GCACCAAAUGAUAUACACAUACUUUUUUUUGUUUCAAGAAUACACAUAUACUUUUUGAUAGUUGGUUUAACUAGAUUAUUUUGUUAAGGAAAUUUUAUCUUCCUCAUCACUUUUGAAAACAUUAUCUUCCAUGUUGCUCAUGAAAACAUUAUCUUCCUUGUCAUUUUUAGAAACUGCAUCUUCUCCAUCAAUUUUGGAAACUUGAUCUCCCUCAUCAUUUUUGGAAACUUUAUCUUCUUCAUUACUCUUGGAAACUCCAUCUUCUUCACCACUUUUGGAAGCUUUAUAUUCCCUAUCACUUAAGGAAACGUUAUCUUCUUCGUCAAUUUCCGAAAAUUUAUUUCCCUCAUCACAUAAGUGUUUUAGAAAUUUUCUGCUAUUAGGAAUAGUUUCAGCACACUUCUUCUUGAUCAGAUUUCCACGGAAAGUCAUCCAAUCACAUGCUGGAAUCAUCACUUUAUGCAUCUUGCCUACAAUUAUUGAUGAAAGGUAAAAAUGGAGCAUUAUGUCAUAGAAAUAUAAAAUGCAAAAAUAGUGUUAAUGUCUUACCACUAUUUUUAUCAUGGUGAAUCAUUUCAUUAACAGCUUCUACGGUCUCUAGAGCUUCAAAUGGAAUUUCCUUGGGGCCAUUUGGACGUGGAUCGUCUUCAUUAACCACACCUAUUUGUUAAUUUGUAGUUGCUUGUUGAUGUAAAACAAUUUACAAUAAAAUGUAUAUAUAUCAAAAAAAUAACAAUUUGUAGUUGCUUGUUAAUUUGUUAAUCCUCCGUUUUUUUAAGGGAAAUGAGUGUUGGCUAUAUGUAGAUCGGUUGGGAGGUAAGUAAUGUUUAACCAAGAAUUAUUUUAUGCAAAAAUUAAAUUUAAGUUCUUCUAAAAUAUUCGUCCAUGUUGAAACUCAUUGACUACUUGAGUCCAAUUUAUUAGUUAUGUAUAUAUACAAAUUAAUGAUAGACUUGUCUACAUUUCUAAAUGAGCAUUUAUUUUAUUUUUAUUUAAAUGUUGACUAGAAAAUCACACAUAUAUGCGUGACUUAUUGAUUUAUGAGAGUUCGUUUAGAUCAAUGAGGCAAAAUGGUUUCAGCUAAUAUGAUAUCGUUAACUCCAAAUCACCAAGUUUCGAGAUUGGUUCAUCGCGUAAUGGGUUGCAUAAACCUAGUUUACAAUCAUCUCUUUAGCGUAUCUUGUGCUUUGGGAUCUUUUUUUUUAUCUAUUAAAUAAAAUUUUCUUUUUUACUUCUUAAAAAAAUAUAACAAAAUUGUGAUGUUUCUAUGGUUGAGAAAGACACUGUUUUGUUUUCAAUUAUUUAGAGCGCAAAUGCUGAUAGGAAAACUUGCCAGAUUGAAUUUGGGGGUGCAUUGAUAAUGUGGUAGGCCGGAAAAGGAAGGCAUGAAAGAUAAUAAUUAUGCUAACAAAAUACUUUCUCUUAAAAAUCCUGUUCAGCCUAAUGCAACCCCACAAAACUGGUUUGUGAGGUGAAUAUUGUCCCUCACGACCAGCACUAUUGGGCUUGGUUCGUGGGCAUAAAGACAAUUAUUGUUUUGACAUUCAACAUGUCUUAGAAACACAAGUAAAUGACCAAAAAACCUAGCGUCAGUUAACUGCUGCCGGUUUUCUAGCUAUCAAGCCAGCGGUAGUUAACUACCGCUGAGAGUAUUUUCGUACUUUACUUGUGUUUUUAGGAAGUUUUAAAUGUCAAAAAAGCAAUUGUUGGACAUAAAUGAUGGGUAGUCCGAUAGCGGAAACCUGAUAGCAGGUGACCCAAUGGAUCUUGAACCAGGCUCUGAUACCAUCUUAAUCUUAGAAAUCGUGUUUGAGCUUAACACAAUCCUACAAAACCGGCUUGUGAGGUGUGGAUUGCCCCCACUUAUAAUUAUAUUGUCAGACCAUCAGCUAUCCGAUGUGGCACUCUUAAUGCUUUCUAAGACACUAUUUUUAUGAUAGAAAUUCAUGUGGAUCACUCUAAAUAUAUAGGGUUUACAUCAUUUAGCGAAACCGUUUACAUUUUAGUUAAUAGGAGUGUGUUUGAAAGACUGCUAAAAAUGGUAUUGCAAGCACUUUUCAAAAGAUGAUGAACGGGGACAAUAUGAAACAAUCAAAGAGUUCAUAUUUGACUUUUAAAAGCUCAAAGUUACAUUUUGUUUUGAUAGAUAGCUUUUUUAAAAUUUUGUUGUGUCAUAUACACUAAUUUAUUUUAUCAAAAUUAAACUAUACGCUAGAAUGACUCACCAAGAAUAGGAGGUGGAGGCAACGGCGAUU
rnacentral:lncRNA from 1 species